rnacentral:rRNA from 1 species
GACGAACGCUGGCGGCGUGCCUAAUACAUGCAAGUAGAACGCUGAAGAGAGGAGCUUGCUCUUCUUGGAUGAGUUGCGAACGGGUGAGUAACGCGUAGGUAACCUGCCUGGUAGCGGGGGAUAACUAUUGGAAACGAUAGCUAAUACCGCAUGAUAUUAAUUAUCGCAUGAUAAUUAAUUGAAAGAUGCAAUUGCAUCACUACCAGAUGGACCUGCGUUGUAUUAGCUAGUUGGUGAGGUAACGGCUCACCAAGGCGACGAUACAUAGCCGACCUGAGAGGGUGAUCGGCCACACUGGGACUGAGACACGGCCCAGACUCCUACGGGAGGCAGCAGUAGGGAAUCUUCGGCAAUGGGGGGAACCCUGACCGAGCAACGCCGCGUGAGUGAAGAAGGUUUUCGGAUCGUAAAGCUCUGUUGUAAGAGAAGAACGGGUGUGAGAGUGGAAAGUUCACACUGUGACG